rnacentral:rRNA from 1 species
GACGAACGCUGGCGGCGUGCCUAAUACAUGCAAGUUGAGCGAUGAAGAUUGGUGCUUGCACCAAUUUGAAGAGCAGCGAGCGGGUGAGUAACGCGUGGGGAAUCUGCCUUUGAGCGGGGGACAACAUUUGGAAACGAAUGCUAAUACCGCAUAACAACUUUAAACAUAAGUUUUAAGUUUGAAAGAUGCAAUUGCAUCACUCAAAGAUGAUCCCGCGUUGUAUUAGCUAGUUGGUGAGGUAAAGGCUCACCAAGGCGAUGAUACAUAGCCGACCUGAGAGGGUGAUCGGCCACAUUGGGACUGAGACACGGCCCAAACUCCUAAGGGAGGCAGCAGUAGGGAAUCUUCGGCAAUGGACGAAAGUCUGACCGAGCAACGCCGCGUGAGUGAAGAAGGUUUUCGGAUCGUAAAACUCUGUUGGUAGAGAAGAACGUUGGUGAGAGUGGAAAGCUCAUCAAGUGACGGUAACUACCCAGAAAGGGACGGCUAACUACGUG